rnacentral:miRNA from 3 species
GUGAGUGGGGUGGUUGGCAUG